rnacentral:snRNA from 1 species
CUGCUUUGGUAGCACAUACACUAAAAUUGGAAUGAUACAGAGAAGAUUAGCAUGGCCCCUGCGCAAGGAUGACCGCCAAAUUCGUGAAGCGUUCCAUAUUAAA